rnacentral:lncRNA from 1 species
GGCAGUUAAUGCAGAGCAAGUAUAUCUUAGUUCUAAUUGAUGACGAUGAAGAUGUCCAAGAAAUGCUGACAUUUUCUUUGAAAUAUUCAGAAUGUCGAUUUUUAAAAUUAUAUAUUGAAAAAGAAGAUGUAUCGAGUUUUGGGUACUAUAGUCGGUUUUUAACACAAUACGGCAAUACUCCUGGGCCUUCCUCUCCUUUAGUAACUUCAAUGAUGGAAACUGAUAGUGUUGAGAUCAUGUUUGCAGAAUAACAUUCUACUACUGCUAGUCCUAGUUAUCCAAUUAUUUAAAGUCCUAUGGUGACUUCUCCUGUGAUGUCUUCUGCUAUGGUGACUUCUCUUAUGGUGGAAGUAAUAGUAAGUGCGGGAUACGAGACUCAUAUAAGGGACAAUGAUUGGGUAAGUGGUGAAAUAAAUUCUGAUAAUUUAGGUUUUGAGUCAGAUGAAAGUGAGGAUGAAGACUAUUGGAUG